AGUGAACGCUGGCGGUAGGCCUAACACAUGCAAGUCGAACGGCAGCACAGUAAGAGCUUGCUCUUACGGGUGGCGAGUGGCGGACGGGUGAGGAAUACAUCGGAAUCUACUUUUUCGUGGGGGAUAACGUAGGGAAACUUACGCUAAUACCGCAUACGACCUACGGGUGAAAGCAGGGGAUCUUCGGACCUUGCGCGAUUGAAUGAGCCGAUGUCGGAUUAGCUAGUUGGCGGGGUAAAGGCCCACCAAGGCAACGAUCCGUAGCUGGUCGGAGAGGAUGAUCAGCCACACUGAAACUGAGACACGGUCCAGACUCCAACGGGAAGCAGCGGUGGGGAAUAUUGGAAAAUGGGCGCAAGCCUGAUCCAGCCAUACCGCGUGGGUGAAGAAGGCCUUCGGGUUGUAAAGCCCUUUUGUUGGGAAAGAAAAGCAGCAGGUUAAUACCCCGCUGUUCUGACGGUACCCAAAGAAUAAGCACCGGCUAACUUCGU
rnacentral:rRNA from 1 species